rnacentral:lncRNA from 1 species
CUUUUUUUUUCUUUUAGAGAAAAUACAUACUAUUUUUCUUUUUGUAUGAUCUCUUAUUAUGCAUUUGCCUUCUCUUUCAAGAUUUCCACCCCAAACUUAGUUUUAUUGCACAUCUUGCAAUUCACACAAUCAUACCGAGUUAUGGAAAAAAAAUGAAUGAUUAAAACUUAACAGGGGGUUUAUGAUGAAUAAUGCUUAAAAGUUAACAGGGGGUUUAUGAUGAAAUAAAAUGGCUAAUGCUCAACGGGGUUUACG